UGGGGAAUAUUGGGCAAUGGGCGAAAGCCUGACCCAGCAACGCCGCGUGAAGUAUGAAGGCCUUCGGGUUGUAAACUUCUUUGAUCAGGGAAGAAACAAAUGACGGUACCUGAAAAACAAGCCACGGCUAACUACGUGCCAGCAGCCGCGGUAAUACGUAGGUGGCGAGCGUUAUCCGGAUUUACUGGGUGUAAAGGGCGUGCAGGCGGGCUGAUAAGUCAGAUGUGAAAUCCCCGAGCUUAACUCGGGAACUGCAUCUGAUACUGUUGGUCUUGAGUGCUGGAGAGGAUAGUGGAAUUCCUAGUGUAGCGAUAAAAUGCGCAGAUAUUAGGAGGAACACCAGUGGCGAAGGCGGCUAUCUGGACAGUAACUGACGCUGAGGCGCGAAAGCGUGGGGAGCAAACAGG
rnacentral:rRNA from 1 species